GUGAGGACACAGCAGGGAGGCAGCCAUUUAAGAAGUAGGAAGUGGAUCCUCACCAGACACCAAAUCUGCUAGACUUGACCUUGGACUUCCCAGCCUCCAGAUCUGAGGUGGAUAAAAUUGAAACAACAAAGAGAACAGGUGAGGAAGUCACCAAUGGACAAUACGGAGCAGAAACAGCCAGAGCCCAGAGCACACCAGAGAGGAGGAUCCAGAUGAGCCCCCCUCCCCCAGGUUUGUCAGUCUGAUUCUCAAGCACCCUAGAUGAAACCCACCCUCCAUCAAGCUGGAAGGCAUACAUUCAGCUUCGACCCAUCAGUUUCCGACGCUGACUUCAAAUCUUGCUCCUCCUCUCAUAA